GAUGAACGCUGGCGGCGUGCCUAAUACAUGCAAGUCGAGCGAACGGACGAGAAGCUUGCUUUUCUGAUGUUAGCGGCGGACGGGUGAGUAACACGUGGAUAACCUACCUAUAAGACUGGGAUAAUUUCGGGAAACCGGAGCUAAUACCGGAUAAUAUUUUGAACCGCAUGGUUCAAAAGUGAAAGACGGUCUUGCUGUCACUUAUAGAUGGAUCCGCGCUGCAUUAGCUAGUUGGUAAGGUAACGGCUUACCAAGGCAACGAUGCAUAGCCGACCUGAGAGGGUGAUCGGCCACACUGGAACUGGGACGCGGUCCAGGCGCCUGCGGGAGGCAGCAGUAGGGAAUCUGCCGCAAUGGGCGAGAGCCUGACGGAGCAACGCCGCGUGAGUUAUGAAGGUCUUCGGUUCGUAAAACUCUGUUAUUAGGGAAGAACAUAUGUGUAAGUAACUGUGCACAUCUUGACGGUACCUAAUCAGAAAGCCACGGCUAACUACGUG
rnacentral:rRNA from 1 species